rnacentral:lncRNA from 1 species
UUCGGUCGGCCAUCCACAGUCAAAUGAUGAAGUGAAAGUAACCAACCGAACAAUCUUAUACGGACUGAAGAUCCGACUGAAUGAAGCUAAAGGCCUCUAGGUAGAAGAGCUACAUCCGAUCUUAUGGGUGUAUCGGAAACUCUCCAUAUACCGAUAUAGGAAUCCCCCUUCAAUUUAGCUUAUAGAAUAGAAACAAUGAUACCACUCGAGAUCGGAUUACGCUCG